rnacentral:rRNA from 1 species
GACGAACGCUGGCGGCGUGCUUAACACAUGCAAGUCGAACGAUGUAGCCUAGCUUGCUAGGUGGAUUAGUGGCGAACGGGUGAGUAAUACGUGAGUGACCUACCUUUGACUCUGGGAUAAGCCUGGGAAACUGGGUCUAAUACCGGAUACGACCAAUCUCCGCAUGGGGUGUUGGUGGAAAGCGUUAUGGAGUGGUUUUAGAUGGGCUCACGGCCUAUCAGCUUGUUGGCGAGGUAAUGGCUUACCAAGGCGACGACGGGUAGCCGGCCUGAGAGGGUGACCGGCCACACUGGGACUGAGACACGGCCCAGACUCCUACGGGAGGCAGCAGUGGGGAAUAUUGCACAAUGGGCGCAAGCCUGAUGCAGCGACGCCGCGUGAGGGAUGACGGCCUUCGGGUUGUAAACCUCUGUUAGCAUCGAAGAAGCGAAAGUGACGGUAGGUGCAGAGAAAGCGCCGGCUAACUACGUG